UACGGGGGGAGCAAGCGUUGUUCGGAUUUACUGGGCGUAAAGGGUGCGUAGGUGGCGCCAUAAGUCGGGUGUGAAAUUUCGGAGCUUAACUCCGAAACUGCAUUCGAUACUGUGGUGCUUGAGGACUGGAGAGGAGACUGGAAUUCACGGUGUAGCAGUGAAAUGCGUAGAGAUCGUGAGGAAUACCAGUGGCGAAGGCGGGUCUCUGGACAGUUCCUGACACUGAGGCACGAAGGCCAGGGGAGCAAACGGG
rnacentral:rRNA from 1 species